UUUGCAGAGACAGGGUUUUGCCAUGUUGCCUAGGUUAUUCUCAAUUCCUGAGCUCAAGCCUGCCUCAGCCUCCCAAAGGGCUGGGAUUAUAGGUGUGAGCCACCAUGCCUGGCCAUCACUAAUCUUCAAGGUGGUCUUCGAGGGAUAGCACGAGGUGGUCUGACAGGACUAACACUUACGAGCCUCUAUGCACUAUAUAAUAACUGGGAGCACAUGAAAGGCUCCUUGCUCCAACAGUCACUCUGAAGAUUUUGCCAACUCAUGAAUGGAGGACACUUAGUAUCUAGAUCAUUUUAUAAGACAGUCUGGAGUUAUCCUCUCUCUCCUACCUACAAUUAGUUUGAAAAAUUGGAGAUUUUGAUUUGCUGUGAUGAAAAUCCUGGAUGGUUGACCAAGACUGGCACUUGUUCCAGCCAUUAGUGAGUUGAAGCCAAAGGCCUUUGGUGACUCACUGAGAACCAUGGUUCUCUUCUCCUCUGGAGAAGAUCUUGCACAUAUCUCUUCUCCUCCCCCAUGAACUAGAAAACCACUUACUCCCAGAAUUCAGGUCAUGCUUGUCAGUACUAUAUCACUAAGUCUGUUCAUUUAAUGAUCCAAAACUGUAAUGUUGCACUGUAUUCCAAAUAAAGGGUAAAAACAGAACUAAAGUUGUAACUCCAACACA